rnacentral:sRNA from 1 species
CGUAGACCGAGCUUAUGACCUGGCGCC